UGGGGAAUAUUGGACAAUGGGCGCAAGCCUGAUCCAGCCAUGCCGCGUGAGUGAUGAAGGCCCUAGGGUUGUAAAGCUCUUUCGCCAGGGACGAUAAUGACGGUACCUGGAUAAGAAGCCCCGGCUAACUUCGUGCCAGCAGCCGCGGUAAUACGAAGGGGGCUAGCGUUGUUCGGAAUCACUGGGCGUAAAGCGCACGUAGGCGGAUCUUUAAGUCAGGGGUGAAAUCCCGAGGCUCAACCUCGGAACUGCCUUUGAUACUGGAGGUCUCGAGUCCGGGAGAGGUGAGUGGAACUGCGAGUGUAGAGGUGAAAUUCGUAGAUAUUCGCAAGAACACCAGUGGCGAAGGCGGCUCACUGGCCCGGUACUGACGCUGAGGUGCGAAAGCGUGGGGAGCAAAACAGGAUUAGAUACCCUGGUAGUCCACGCCGUAAAACUAUGGAUGCUAGCCGUUGGGCAGCUUGCUGUUCAGUGGCGCAGCUAACGCUUUAAGCAUCCCGCCUGGGGGAGUACGGUCGCAAGAUUAAAAACUCAAAGGAAUUGACGGGGUC
rnacentral:rRNA from 1 species